rnacentral:rRNA from 1 species
UACGUAGGGUGCGAGCGUUGUCCGGAAUUAUUGGGCGUAAAGGGCUCGUAGGCGGUCUGUUACGUCAGGAGUGAAAACUCGGGGCUCAACCCCGAGCCUGCUUCUGAUACGGGCAGACUGGAGGUAUGCAGGGGAGAACGGAAUUCCUGGUGUAGCGGUGAAAUGCGCAGAUAUCAGGAGGAACACCGGUGGCGAAGGCGGUUCUCUGGGCAUUACCUGACGCUGAGGAGCGAAAGCAUGGGGAGCAAACAGG